rnacentral:rRNA from 1 species
UAUAUAAUAAAUCUUAUAUAUUAUAUAACUGUAAUAAAAGGAUUUUAGUAAAUAAAGUAGUUUUAAAUAUAAAAUUAAGUAAUGUAUAAUGAAAUUAAAAAUUAAUAUUAUAGUAUAAAAGUACUGUGAGGGAAAGAAAAAACUAAUAAUAUUUAGUAGAAAAUAUAAAUAAUUGUACCUUUGGUAUCAGGGAUAGUCAAAAUUAAUUAAUCAAUUUUAAUGGUCUCGAAUUAAGAAUAGCUAAUUUAAUAUUAAGUUUUUGUAGAAAAAGAAUUUAUAAUUUUAGAUUAAAGGUGAAAAGCUAAUCGAGUCUUAGAUAUCUAGUUUUUAAGGAAAUAAAUUUAAUUUAGGUUUUAUAGUAAACUUAUAUUAAAUUCUGAAAAUAGGAGGGAUUAGCUUCUUAUUUUAAAUAAUAGCAAUUAAUUCUUUUUAGUUUACUAGGCUUAAAAGUAGCCAUGAAUGGAAAAUAUGUUUUAAUUUAGGUAGAUAAAAAUAAUUAUUUAUGAUAAUUGCUUUGUUUAUUUACUUGAGUAUUAAAUCUAAUUAAAUCGUUUAAUAAAUCAUGAUUAUAUUAGUAUAAUUUUGUUAUUAAAGAAAAGUAAAUUAUAAUGUAAAGUUAUAAAUUAAGGGAAGAUAAAGUUAAAGAAUUCGGCAAAAAUGUUUUCUGCCUGUUUAUCAAAAACAUGUCUACUUGAAGAUGUAAGUAGUCAGGCCUGCUCACUGACUGAACCUGUUUAAGAGCCGCGGUAUUCUGACCGUGCAAAGGUAGCAUAAUCAUUAGUUUUUUAAUUGAAAACUGGUAUGAAAGGUUAGACAAGAAAAAAGCUGUUUCAAUUAUAAUUUUUGAACUUAACUUUUAAGUGAGAAGGCUUAAAUUGCUUAGAGGGACGAUAAGACCCUAUAAAGCUUUAUAUAAAUAUUAAAGUUGAUUGAAGUUGUAUUAAGAGUUAAUAAUAAGUAAUAUAUUUUGUUGGGGCGACAUAAGUAUAAUUUUUAUAACUGCUUAUAUUUUAUAAUCAUUUAUUAAUGGAUAAAUUUUAGAUGACCCUAUAUUAUAGAUUUAAAGAUUAAGUUACUUUAGGGAUAACAGCGUUAUUUUACUUGAGAGUUCCUAUCGAAAGUGAAGUUUGCGACCUCGAUGUUGAAUUAAAGUUUCUGUAUAAUGCAGCCGUUAUAUAAGAAGGUCUGUUCGACCUUUAAAUUUUUACAUGAUUUGAGUUCAGACCGGUGUAAGCCAGGUCGGUUUCUAUCUUCUAACUAAAAGAAAAUUGUUUUAGUACGAAAGGAUUAAAUAAUUUAAAAUUUUUAUAAGUAUGUUUAAAAAAUU